AUCACGAUAUUUCCCUUCCACAUCGACUAAUUUUCGGUAUAAAUACUGCGCUGUUUUCCUCAGUCAUCAUCGUCAGUUCAACUUGCCAACUGAAGUCAAUCCAACAAUCAAUCCAAGAUGAUGAAAUUCUUGAUCUUCGCCUUCUUCGUAGCCUUCGCUGUGGCCACUGCUUUUGCUGCUCCUGAACCCAACCCAGCUCCUCGUCCCAUGCCAGCACCUCUUCCAUACCCUCAGCAUGGAUAUUACCCACCCACUUACUAUUAUUCAUACUACUAAUUCAACAAAUGCAAUAUCAACGGAUCUGGACUCAAACACAAGCAGACAUAUGCAGAAAAUGCAGAACUAUAAUUUGUGCCUCCAAAAAUUGAAAUCCCUAAAAUGCACGAAAUAACAGCCAAA